rnacentral:tRNA from 1 species
UCCUCGGUAGCUCAACGGCAGAGCGGGUGGCUGUUAACCACUAGGUUGGGAGUUCGAAUCUCUCCCGAGGAGUCA